rnacentral:rRNA from 1 species
CGCUGGCGGUGCGCCUUAUGCAUGCAAGUCGAGCGAAGCUUUUCAGUAGUUUACUACAGAAAAUGACUGAGCGGCGAACGGGUGAGUAACGCGUGAGCAACCUACCUUAGUUACUGGGAUAGCCCGAGGAAACUCGGAUUAAUACCGGAUAUUCUUAUUUAAUCACAUGAUUUUUUAAGGAAAGGUCAGCCGAACUAAGAUGGGCUCGCGUUCUAUCAGCUAGUUGGUAGGGUAAUGGCCUACCAAGGCUACGACGGAUAGCUGGUCUGAGAGGACGAUCAGCCACACUGGGACUGAGACACGGCCCAGACUCCUACGGGAGGCUGCAGCAGGGAAUAUUGCGCAAUGAGCGAAAGCUUGACGCAGCGACACCGCGUGUGGGAUGACGGAUCUAGGUUUGUAAACCACUUUCAGGAGGGAAGAAAAUGACGGUACCUCCACAAGAAGCCCCGGCCAACUACGUGCCAGCAGCCGCGGUAAUACGUAGGGGGCGAGCGUUGUCCGGAUUUAUUGGGCGUAAAGAGCUCGUAGGCGGUUCAACAAGUCGGUCGUGAAAGUUCAGGGCUCAACCCUGAAAUGUCGAUCGAUACUGUUGUGACUAGGAUACGGUAGAGGUGAGUGGAAUUCCGAGUGUAGCGGUGAAAUGCGUAGAUAUUCGGAGGAACACCAAUUGCGAAGGCAGCUCACUGGGCCGCUAUCGACGCUGAGGAGCGAAAGCUAGGGGAGCAAACAGGAUUAGAUACCCUGGUAGUCCUAGCUGUAAACGAUGGAUACUAGACGUAGGAAUUGGAUUAACGAUUUCUGUGUCGUAGCUAACGCGUUAAGUAUCCCGCC